UACGUAGGGGGCGAGCGUUGUCCGGAAUUAUUGGGCGUAAAGCGCGCGCAGGUGGUUUCUUAAGUCUGAUGUGAAAGCCCACGGCUCAACCGUGGAGGGUCAUUGGAAACUGGGGAACUUGAGUGCAGGAGAGAAGAGUGGAAUUCCACGUGUAGCGGUGAAAUGCGUAGAGAUGUGGAGGAACACCAGUGGCGAAGGCGGGUCUCUGGGCCGAUACUGACGCUGAGGAGCGAAAGCGUGGGGAGCGAACAGG
rnacentral:rRNA from 1 species